UACCUGCAGCUCAAGUGGUGGCCGUUAUUAUUGGGCCUAAAACGUCCGUAGCCGGUUUAUUAAAUGCCUGGGUAAAUCGGGCCGCUUAACGGUUCGAAUUCCGGGUAGACUGAUGGACUUGGGACCGGGAGAAGCUAGAGGUACUCCUGGGGUAGAGGUGAAAUUCUGUAAUCCUAGGGGGACCAUCAGUGGCGAAGGCGUCUAGCUAGAACGGGUCUGACGGUGAGGGACGAAGCCCUGGGGCGCAAACCGGAUUAGAUACCCGGGUAGUCCAGGGUGUAAACGCUGCUUGCUUGAUGUUAGUCGGGCUCCGAGCCCGAUUAGCGUCGGAGAGAAGUUGUUAAGCAAGCCGCCUGGGAAGUACGGCCGCAAGACUGAAACUUAAAGAAAUUGGCGGGGGAGCACAGCAACGGGUGGAGCGUGCGGUUU
rnacentral:rRNA from 1 species